rnacentral:rRNA from 1 species
AUGAGAUCAAACUUGUUUUUUACUAGCACUAGUGAUGGUGGUUUCUCGAGCUCGAGGAGCGUGGCAAUGGCAGCAGAGAUUGGUCAGUUGAUGCAGGUGGUGGUUGCGGCGCCGGGGUCCAUGGCGGUCUCGAGCUGGCGGAGGGAGAGGGAGGAUGGCAGGGAGAAGGCGCCGGCCAUGCCCACGCCCACGCCCAUGCCGCCCACCUUGUUGAUGCCGUCCCAGCCGAUGUGCCCGACGUGCUGCACGUCGGUGGGGUACCCGAUCACGAUCUCCUGCUCCUCCUCGUCCUCCUCUUCAUCGACGUCGUACGCCGCGAAGAAGGUCUUGAUUCCCCUGAGCAGCCGCUGCACCCCGGCCGUGACGGUCCCUGCCGCCGCCGCCGCCGCGGUUCUCGCCUUGUCCUCGCUGCUUUCUUCUCCGGCGCCUCUCUCUGAAAUGGAUGUUCUGCUUGCUGUUAGUAUGUGGCAUGGAUCUCCGUAUGAAUUGCGAUCAGGAAGUACAUACCCUGUGCGGUGGCCGUCGUCGUGGUGGAGGAAGAAGGGUUGUCGGCCUGCGGCUGCGGCGCCGGUGCUGGUGGCUUCUUACCGAGCGGGUCGGCGACGGCCACGGCGGACUGCGACAUGCAGCCGAUGGAGAAGGGGAAUCCAGCGCCGCCGCGUCGGUCCUUCAUCGGAGCCGGAGCUGGAGAUUGAUACGAACACUACGGAGGGUACAGAUGAUGAGAUAAGGAGAAAGAAAGAUGCAGGCAGAAUGGUGUUGCGUUCUUGGCCCGGCGUGUCUUAUAGGCAGUGCACGCGGAGCAGAGUUUGGUGA